GACGAACGCUGGCGGCGUGCCUAACACAUGCAAGUUGAGCGACGAACCAGGGCUUGCCCUGGGGCAAAGCAGCGAACGGGUGAGUAACACGUGGGUAACCUACCCCGAUAACCGGGACAACCCGAGGAAACUCGGGCUAAUACCGGAUGUGCUCACUGGACUUCGGUUCAGUGCGUAAAGGAAGCUUCGGCCUCCGUAUCGGGAGGGGCCCGCGGCCCAUUAGUUUGUUGGUGAGGUAACGGCCCACCAAGACCGCGAUGGGUAGCUGGUCUGAGAGGACGAUCAGCCACACUGGGACUGAGACACGGCCCAGACUCCUACGGGAGGCAGCAGUGGGGAAUCUUGCGCAAUGCGCGAAAGCGUGACGCAGCAACGCCGCGUGGGGGAAGAAGGCCUUCGGGUUGUAAACCCCUUUCAGGAGGGACGAAGGUUCGGCGGUGAAUAGCCGUCCGGACUGACGGUACCUCCACAAGAAGCCCCGGCUAACUACGUG
rnacentral:rRNA from 1 species